AGCGAGCGCUGGCGGCAGGCCUAACACAUGCAAGUCGAACGAAGUCUUCGGACUUAGUGGCGGACGGGUGAGUAACACGUGGGAACGUGCCCUUUGGUACGGAAUAACUCAGGGAAACUUGAGCUAAUACCGUAUGUGCCCUUCGGGGGAAAGAUUUAUCGCCAUUGGAGCGGCCCGCGUCUGAUUAGCUAGUUGGUGAGGUAAAGGCUCACCAAGGCGACGAUCAGUAGCUGGUCUGAGAGGAUGAUCAGCCACAUUGGGACUGAGACACGGCCCAAACUCCUACGGGAGGCAGCAGUGGGGAAUCUUGCGCAAUGGGCGAAAGCCUGACGCAGCCAUGCCGCGUGAAUGAUGAAGGUCUUAGGAUUGUAAAAUUCUUUCACCGGGGACGAUAAUGACGGUACCCGGACAAGAAGCCCCGGCUAACUUCGUGCCAGCAGCCGCCGUAAGAC
rnacentral:rRNA from 1 species